ACGUACACUCCUACGGGAGGCAGCAGUGGGGAAUUUUGGACAAUGGGCGAAAGCCUGAUCCAGCAAUGCCGCGUGCAGGAUGAAGGCCUUCGGGUUGUAAACUGCUUUUGUACGGAACGAAAAAGCUCCUUCUAAUACAGGGGGCCCAUGACGGUACCGUAAGAAUAAGCACCGGCUAACUACGUGCCAGCAGCCGCGGUAAUACGUAGGGUGCGAGCGUUAAUCGGAAUUACUGGGCGUAAAGCGUGCGCAGGCGGUUAUGUAAGACAGAUGUGAAAUCCCCGGGCUCAACCUGGGAUCUGCAUUUGUGACUUCAUUGCUAGAGUACGGUAGAGGGGUAUGGAAUUCCGCGUGUAGCAGUGAAAUGCGUAGAUAUGCGGAGGAACACCGAUGGCGAAGGCAAUCCCCUGGACCUGUACUGACGCUCAUGCACGAAAGCGUGGGGAGCAAACAGGAUUAGAUACCCUGGUAGUCCCAUGAU
rnacentral:rRNA from 1 species